GACGAACGCUGGCGGCGUGCUUAACACAUGCAAGUCGAACGGUAAGGCCCUGCGUUUGUGGGGUGCUCGAGUGGCGAACGGGUGAGUAUCACGUGAGUAACCUGCCCUUGACUUUGGGAUAACUUCAGGAAACUGGGGCGAAUACCGGAUAGGAGCUCCUGCUGCAUGGUGGGGGUUGGAUAGUUUCGGCGGUUGGGGAUGGACUCGCGGCUUAUCAGCUUGUUGGUGGGGUAGUGGCUUACCAAGGCUUUCACGGGUAGCCGGCCUGAGAGGGUGACCGGCCACAUUGGGACUGAGAUACGGCCCAGACUCCUACGGGAGGCAGCAGUGGGGAAUAUUGCACAAUGGGCGGAAGCCUGAUGCAGCAACGCCGCGUGCGGGAUGACGGCCUUCGGGUUGUAAACCGCUUUCGCCUGUGACGAAGCGUGAGUGACGGUAAUGGGUAAAGAAGCACCGGCUAACUACGUG
rnacentral:rRNA from 1 species